CCAAAGGCUCUUUUCAGAGCCACCCACACUUUCAGUAAAAGAGUGG
rfam:Gallus gallus isolate RJF #256 breed Red Jungle fowl, inbred line TCD001 chromosome 1, whole genome shotgun sequence.